CAUCACGUACGAUCACCAAAGUUAAGCAACGUCGAGCCUGGUCAGUACCUAGAUGGUUGACCGCUUGGGAAUACCCAGGUGCUGUAAG